AAAAAUUUAUCAAGUGUUGAGAAAAUAUAAAAAAAAUUAUGUUGUGAAUAUAAAAAACAAUAUAAUAGUAGGUUCUUACUUAUAUAAAAUAUGCAUAUAUAGAAAUUGUUAAUUUACAAUUUUAAUGAGACCAUAUAUUUACAUAUAAUUUUCUAAAAAAAUAUUAUCCUAUUAUUUUAUUGAUUUAUGUCAGAUUUUGAACAGGCACAAGUUGAGAUCGGCAAAAUUUAUUAAUUUAUAGAGAUUAUUAAUUAAUCGAAUAUUAAUUUAUAAAAGUUCUACAUAGAAAACUCGUAAGAUGCUGCACGGAAAAUGUUUCUCGGUUGUGUUUUCUUAAUGAUAAUCUUCACCUCAGCAUUAUCUUUAGUUGACCAUUUAAUUUUAUUUUUCUUGGGGCAACUCUUUAUAUUGUUACCUGGGACGUAAAUUAUGUAAACUACUUCCUAUUACAAUUUUUUGAAACUGCAUUUGUAAGAUACUAAUAUACCAUAUUGCUGCAGCUUAAUAAAAUAACUUAAAAAUUUCUUUCAUUUAAAUUUCUAGAUACUAGUUAAAAUAAUAAAACAUAUUUUAAAUAAAUAAUCUUAAUUGAUCAGAAACAUUCUCCUUCAAAAUUAAUGGUAAAGGAUUAUUUGUUCGUUCAUAUGCAAUUUACUGAUCUUGUUCUAAAUUCAUAAAUUUCUUAUUUGUAAGUCAAAUUUUAAAAGUCGAAUUAUAGAAUAGGGGAUAUGGCCAAUACAUAAUUGGACGACAAAAUUCAGCUGUUUUUCAAAAAUAAAAAAUAAGAUGAUAAAUGCUCUAUUCAGAAUCAUAAUAUUCAUCAAUUAUUUUCGAAUUGAUUGUGAGAAACAUUAGCAAACAAUUCACCUUACUAUUACUUAUCUCAGCAUUUUCCUAAACACAAAACAAUGAAACUUAUAUAUACAAAAAUAUGGUAUUAAUUGUUGUUGGGGUCAAAAUCGGUCACGACGGAAUCAAAAUCUGAAAGUCCGUAAAAAUCGGCAUGAACAUUUUUACGAAAAGUAAUCUUCGUAAAGAAAUAUUUACGAAGAAUCACGCAGUAAAAUCGUGUUCAAAUCUCGAUUGAAUCAAAUACCACAUGUCUCAAGGUAACAGAAACGUAUCAAAACCAACCACAUAUAGGUUCGAAUGUGACGAUCGGAACACGGACAAGCAAAGCUCAGCCACUACGCAACGACCGAACAUGCACACUGUCCGGUCUCUACGUAGCGACCGAGCUUGAGCCGAGCCAAGCUAAUCACUACGUUUCGUUUGCAAUUGCAUUCGUAGAUGUAAUAUUCAAAUAAACACAUUUGGAUUUGUCCAAAUUUGUAAAUCAACACAUUUCAGUUUGUACAAAACUCAAAUUUGUGUACCGACGUAGAUCCGAAAGUUUGAUGUGACUUUCCCUUGACUAGGUGACGUCUUCCACGUUCUCAUACGGACUCGUGAGCUUUCCACCAAGUUUCCUGCACUUGCCCUGGAAAAUCCAAACUCUCUUUGUACUUUGAUAAAGUCAAAACCUUUUGACUAGACAACAAUAAUCAAACUUAUAUAAAAUCACAUAACUCUCUCUAUAAAGCACACAACUCAUCAACUCUUUACUAAAGCUGUUCAUCGUCAAGUCCCUUCUUUACUACCAAAAAAAAAUGGCGACUUUCUAUAGUCAAGUGCCUUCUGUGUCCUCUGUUUUCUCUCUGUACACAACAUUUUCUGCUAUCACGAUGCUUCUGCGCACAAUCCUCAACGAGGUAGUCCCAAAGGGAAUCAGAGAAUACAUCACCGUGAAACUUGUGGACUAUUUCUCGUCUUACUUUCAGUCUGAUUUCACGUUCGUGAUCGAGCAACACUGGGGAGAGUAUGUGGAGAACCAGACUUUCCGUGCGGCUCAAGUUUACUUACCCACUCGUCUCGCCGGGCUCUCCACCGGAAAACUUCUCGUGGGUUCCAACAAUCUGAAGAAUCCAACGGCUCAGCCGAACCUAGGGAUUCCUGUAGACACCAAAAUCAUGGACGAGUUUGAAAGGAUUCAUCUUGAGUGGACUCUACACAACGUUAAAUCUAAGGGGAGGCGCGAGAAACGGUACUUUCAUCUGACGUGUAAGAAGGAGUUUCGUGAGAAGAUAAUGGCAGGUUAUUUCGCAUACGUGACGAAAUCAGCAGAGGAGAUAAUGAGGCAUCGAGAGAAUCUACAGAUCUUCACAUACAACAAAGAAGAUUCUGACUGGGAGUCCGCCAUUUUCGAGCACCACACCACCUUCGAGACGCUUGCCAUUGAGCCAGACCUCAAGACAACAUUGAUCGAUGAUCUUGAUGCUUUCUCUAAAGGAAAAGACUUCUUCAGGAGCGUGGGACGUGCCUGGAAACGUGGAUAUCUUCUUUACGGUCCACCUGGUACCGGAAAAUCCUCUAUGGUGGCUGCUAUUGCUAAGCACAUGAAGUAUAAUAUCUAUGAUCUCCAGAUUCAGAGCGUUAAAGACGAUGGUGAGUUGCGUGAGAUUCUCACCUCCACCACGAACCGGUCAAUUCUUCUUAUUGAAGACAUCGAUUGUGGAUCUGAUGCUUCUCGGAAACGUCAUACCAAAGAAAAGGAAGAAGAUGAUGAUGACUCCAAAAAGGGAAAGAACAAGUAUGAAGAUGGAUAUCUUUGUCUGGUCUACUGAACUUUGUGGACGGACUUUGGUCGAGCUGCGGAGAAGAAAAGAUCAUAAUUUUCACAACCAAUCACAAGGAAAUGCUCGACCCGGCGUUGCUUAGGCCGGGAAGGAUGGACGUUCAUAUUCUCAUGGACUAUUGCACACCGCUUGUUUUCAAUAAACUUGUGUCUUUAUACCUCAAGAUUGAUGGUCACAUCCUGUGUGAUUCUAUUGAGAAGCUUGUUCUUGACGUGAACACAACUCCGGCCGAAAUCACCCAGCAACUUAUGGCGAGCAAGGACGCUGAUAUUGCGCUCAAAGGUGUUAUCGAAUUCUUAGAAACCAAGAAAAAUAAAAAGGAAGAUGAUACAAAAGUGGAGUAAGAUGGAUAUAUCAUAUAAUAUCCAAGAUGCUGGGACCAAAGAAACAGAAACAUAAUAAUUGGAUCUCUGUAUUCGGUUCUUUUCAGCAAUAAAUAUCGUUUCUGCAGACACAUUGUAAUGUCAAAAUAUUAGAGAACAUAAAGAAGUCUCUCAUAAGUCAUAAUUAUAUCCUUUUUUCACUUAGAGCAUGUUUUUAAUUGCAGGUUCUUAAGUGCAAUUCUUAGCUAAUUUGUAAUUAAAAAAAAAAAAGGUAACUAGGUAAGCAGCGAGUCUUAAAUAAGGAGUGGAAGAAUAGCCACGUGUUUAAGAUGUAUUAGGUUUUGAGUUUGAGAGGAAAAGAAAAGAAAAAAGAAAAGAAAAGACGAAAAGAAACAAACGCCUCUUUCUAUUCAUUAAAGAAGACGAUCGGUGGUCGGCUCCUCGAAGAAUAUGGUGGGUUGAUUUUGACGACGAAGAAUCUCGGUGGUGGUGGCUAUCCCAUUCAAGAAUCUCAUCGGUCUCGUCGACGAAGAGAUGUCGGUGGCUCUCCUCGACUAAGAAUCUCGGUGUCUCUCAGCGACGGCGAGUCUCUGUGGCUCAACGGAGAAAAUCUCGGUGGCUCUCCUUUACGAAGAGAAUCGUCGGUUGAUGCUAAGUGUAAUCGAUGAGCAAAGCUAAGUAAUUUCGUUUUUAUUUUUCAAUUCCUCAAUUUUGCAUGUGUUUGAUUUUGGUCCUUCUUGUACGUUUUUGAUGUUUAGUCUGUAAAUCUGAUUUCUUCAAUUGCAGAUUGAAGUUCCAUUGAAGAGACAAUCAUUUAUUCUCUGGAGAGACAAUCGAUCUUCUCUAUAAACUCAAGAUUUCCAACAAGAAGAAGGCAGCGGAAGUUCACAUGUCGAUCUCACAUAUUCUACAGAUAUCCCUACAAAUAUCGCCAAUAUGAUGGGUGUUCGAACUAGAAUUCGUGAUAGACAAAUGCAUCACAUAUAUGACGUAAAUUUAGACGUGAUCAAGACAACAACUAAAGCUUUAAUGCUUCUUUGAAAUUAUUAUCGUUUAUUUUUGUAAUCUUUGUUUUUAUGUUGUUAUUUAAAAAUCUAUGUUUCAAAUGUUAUGUUUAACAUUGUUUUUUUAAAAUAAAUUUUAUCUUCAAUAAAAUAAUGUUUAAUAUAUUUUUUUAAGGACCCCUAACUAAAAAACUACCAAUGGAACACUAAAAUUAAGGGUCUCUUAACAAAAGUUCUUAACUUCACUUUAAUACUAAAAAAAUUACUAUGAGCCCUCUUAGGGGUUGCUCCAAUAAACAUGCUCUUAACAACCUUUAAAAAUAAAACAUUCACAAAGAGGGGCAGAUCUAAAAAAUAAUAUAAUGAAUGACACAAUAAAUAAAUAAAAAAUAUAUAUAUUAUAUUAAAAAAUUUAGUGAAUUGGACUUUAUUAUUUUUUUUUAAAAAAAUCUAAAAUUUACAUCUUAUUUUAAAUGAACCAUACAAAGAAAUAGUAACUUUCAUAAUUUUUUGAUAUUUAAUUUUGUUAAUUUUAAUCUUCCUUUUAAGUAAUCUUACAAAUUAUAUACUUCAUAUAAUAUUUAAAAGUAUUUUUAUUAAUCUAAUUAUUGAAAAAUUAAAAAUAAUAAAAAUAACUGCUAGAGUGAAAUAGAAUCAAUUAUAGUUUUUCUUAUAUACAAUUUAGUAGUAGAAAAAAAAAGUUUAUAAAGAAAGAAAGAAUAGUGUUAUGUAUCAAGACCAAAAGAAAAAAAAGGAGAAAAUAUUGUAUAAAUGGUAACACAA